rnacentral:rRNA from 1 species
GGCGGCAUGCCUAACACAUGCAAGUCGAACGGUAACAGACAAAGCUUGCUUUGUGCUGACGAGUGGCGAACGGGUGAGUAACGCGUAGGAAUUUGCCCUAAAGUGGGGGACAACCCGGGGAAACUCGGGCUAAUACCGCAUAUGCCCUUCGGGGUAAAGCUGGGGACCUUCGGGCCUGGCGCUUUAGGAGAAGCCUGCGUAAGAUUAGCUAGUUGGUAGGGUAAAGGCCUACCAAGGCGACGAUCUUUAGCGGGUCUGAGAGGAUGAUCAGCCACACUGGGACUGAGACACGGCCCAGACUCCUACGGGAGGCAGCAGUGGGGAAUAUUGGACAAUGGGGGAAACCCUGAUCCAGCAAUGCCGCGUGUGUGAAGAAGGCCUUAGGGUUGUNAAGCACUUUCAGUUGGGAGGAAUAUCCUGUCGU